GACGUAGGGCGCGAGCGUUGUCCGGAUUUAUUGGGCGUAAAGAGCUCGUAGGCGGCUUGUCGCGUCGACCGUGAAAACUUGGGGCUCAACCCUAAGCCUGCGGUCGAUACGGGCAGGCUAGAGUUCGGUAGGGGAGACUGGAAUUCCUGGUGUAGCGGUGAAAUGCGCAGAUAUCAGGAGGAACACCGGUGGCGAAGGCGGGUCUCUGGGCCGAUACUGACGCUGAGGAGCGAAAGCGUGGGGAGCGAACAGG
rnacentral:rRNA from 1 species